AUGAGCAUGCCGAAGUACAUGGGAGGUUUGGGUUUCCGGGAUUUCGAGAUCUUCAACUUGGCUCUCUUGGCGCGGCAGGCGUGGAGAAUUCUGGAGCAACCUGAAUCUCUAAGUGCGAGGAUAUUGAAGGGAGUUUACUAUCCGAACUCGGAUUUUCUCAAUGCUGAACUGGGAAAACACCCCUCACAAAUCUGGAGAUCGGUAAUAAAGGGCCGUGAUGUGCUGCAACAAGGUCUUAUCAGGAGAAUUGGCAAUGGUUACUCCACAAGUAUUUGGGACAUGAACUGGAUCCCAAGGCCUCAAAAUAUGCGACCCAUUGUAUCUCUUAUUCAGAACCCACCACUGAUGGUGGCCGAGCUACUUGAUCCUUUAAAUGCAUGCUGGGAUGAGCAAAGAAUCCAACAGAUUUUUCUGCCGAAUGAUGCUGCAGCUAUACUUCAGAUUCCGGUGUGCACGUGUAAUAUGGAUGAUUUUUGGUCAUGGAGAUUUGAGAAGAAUGGUUUGUUCACUGUACGGUCU
rnacentral:rRNA from 1 species